ensembl:lncRNA
GCAGUGGGUGAGACUCCCAGCCUCCCUGCAGAGCAGUAAGACAUCUGCGGCAUCUCCACACGGAUACAAACACCAUCAGGUGGGCAAAGAACUUCGACCCGGCAGAGUUGAUGUAAUGUUAUCACAAAACUCGGCUAUUUCCGGGUAAGAAUGAAACCGAUGCAACGACAGUUAGGGCGUAGGCUAUCCUAUGACAGUUCCCUACCUUUCACAUUUUUUUUUAAAGCGCACAGUUGGUUUGUUUAGACAGCGGUAGUAGUAGGCUACCGUUUUUUUUGUUUCUGUUUGGAAGGAGAAUAGCCUAUAGGUCAAGGAGUCCGUCAGGGACUUCCUCCAGUAGCCUAUGAGUUCACAAAGCUAGACGUAGGCCUACCGCUGCGGUGCGUAAUACCGCCGCAUUUAGUGAGAAAAUGAGCAAGAAUGAAAUUAAAUAAGAUAUUUUCCGUUCGAAGAAAAAUGUGUUAUGUCAAAUGAUAGUGUUCCUGAUAACAAUAGACUUAAAUGUUAAUUUGUUUGCUUAUUCUGAGUGAAAGUUUAAGGAACUACAUGUGUGAAUGUGGUGGCUGUGCACUGAUAGGACGUGAUGGACUCUGAUGAACCAGAUGUGAAGAAGAAGAAGAGGAGCGGAGCCUCUGAAGGGGGCGUGUCUACAUGUGACUCUGACAGCGUCCAGCAGGGGGCAUCAGACACACAGUCCAAGAGGACGGACGAGACAGAGAGGGACUCUGCUGCAGAACACAGGUGAGAUCAUGGAUGACAUUCUGUCAGGCAGUCACCAAAAUCCUCUUCAAACCACCUUUGAUUCUAUGUCAGUAACAUUCUAGAACCCUCUUUACGCUGUUAUAUGUAUUUUCCCUAGUGGCUC